rnacentral:ncRNA from 1 species
CGCAGAGUGUAAAGGCACAAGGGAGCUUGACUGCGAGACCUACAAGUCGAGCAGGGACGAAAGUCGGGCUUAGUGAUCCGGUGGUUCCGCAUGGAAGGGCCAUCGCUCAACGGAUAAAAGCUACCCCGGGGAUAACAGGCUUAUCUCCCCCAAGAGUCCACAUCGACGGGGAGGUUUGGCACCUCGAUGUCGGCUCAUCGCAUCCUGGGGCUGUAGUCGGUCCCAAGGGUUGGGCUGUUCGCCCAUUAAAGCGGUACGCGAGCUGGGUUCAGAACGUCGUGAGACAGUUCGGUCCCUAUCCGUCGUGGGCGUAGGAAAUUUGAGAGGAGCUGUCCUUAGUACGAGAGGACCGGGAUGGACGCACCGCUGGUGUACCAGUUGUCUUGCCAAAGGCAUAGCUGGGUAGCUAUGUGCGGAAGGGAUAAGUGCUGAAAGCAUCUAAGCAUGAAGCCCCCCUCAAGAUGAGAUUUCCCUGUUACUAUGUAACGUAAGAUCCCUGAAAGAUGAUCAGGUUGAUAGGUCAGAGGUGGAAGCGCGGUGACGUGUGGAGCUGACUGAUACUAAUCGAUCGAGGACUUAACCUA